rnacentral:tRNA from 1 species
GCCCAGAUGGUGGAAUUGGUAGACACACUACCUUGAGGUGGUAGCGGCGUAAGUCGUGGAGGUUCGAGUCCUCUUCUGGGCACCA